UACGGAGGAUGCAAGCGUUAUCCGGAAUGAUUGGGCGUAGAGCGUCCGCAGGUGGCUGUGUAAGUCUGCUGUCAAAGAGCGAAGCUCAACUUCGUAAAGGCAGUGGAAACUACACGGCUAGAGUGCGUUCGGGGCAGAGGGAAUUCCUGGUGUAGCGGUGAAAUGCGUAGAGAUCAGGAAGAACACCGGUGGCGAAGGCGCUCUGCUAGGCCGCAACUGACACUGAGGGACGAAAGCUAGGGGAGCGAAUGGG
rnacentral:rRNA from 1 species